AAGUCGUAACAAGGUUUCCGUAGGUGAACCUGCGGAAGGAUCAUUAACACGUAUCCAAACGUAAAAAACCCCCCCCGUAACCGGCGUAGUUCGCAAUCUCUGGUAAAUCAUAGCCCGGAAAGUAGUUUUGAUUCAGAGACCUCUGGCUACGUGAGAACAUUGGACCAGUUACAAUCGAGCGGUAGUUUCAUAGGCAUUGUUUCCCCAAGCAGUUAGUGUCUGAAAGUGUCACUGAUUGUGCAAGGAUAGCGCUUCAACGAUUCCUGUAGACCGUACACUCGGGCAGGAGCUAUGCCAAAGGGUCCCCAUGCCCCCUUAUAACCCCACAGUUUAAUGUGAAGCUCAAUGUAAUACAUUGGGUAAAAAAACCGAACAACUGUUAACAAUGGAUAUCUUGGUUCUC
rnacentral:misc_RNA from 1 species